GGAGAUUAAAAUACAUAUACUCUUCACAUCAUGGGUCUCUUCGAGAAAGCUUUGGGAUGACACAGUCGUCGGACCUCGGCCAGAUAACGGCCUUGGCUAGCUCAGGAAGGAGUCCAACUUUAGUUUCCGAUCCAAUUCCUGGAAGGAAGCGGUGGAGGGAGGGAAUGGGAGAUUGUAUGGUGAUGAUAUGACGGAGGAGGCUAUGACGGUUACGCGCAGCAUCAUGAUAGUAAAGCCUCUUGGGAAUUAUGGAUCACCGCCGGUUUCACCGACUGGAUCUAUUCCUCUGGAAGCAGGGGAUCGAACCGGGUCCGACGGAGGUCAACACUGGAUGAGUAAAAGAGAGCAGCAAGGGAUGAUGGAGCCAAGAGCCCUCUUUCUCCUUACGAUUUGUGAAUACGAGUGAGAGAAUACUUGACUUGACAACGAGGAUGAUGACGACGAUAAUGAGGACUCGUUCUACAGAUUUUUGACCAUAUAUUAAAAAAUACUCACUUAUUCAAACAAGGCGGGCUCUUAAGGCCAAAACUUAAUGUCCACAAAAUUCUUCCUUACUGUUAAUUCUGAAACUAUCUCCGGCUUACAUUCUCCCACUAAUCGGACACAGAUACAAGUGAUUCUUCGGCUUUUUGGUAAGAGAGCGAACCAUGUUCAAACAUGCGCUUUCUUCUUCUAUUAGUAGUGAAGAGACAACCGACAAUAACCCGAAAGGCUACCUCUUCUUCGAGGUUCAGUGAAAAGAUAUAAUCUCCGGUGAGGUUCCUGUCACAGAAGCAGAAGGUUGUGGAACUUCUUUCCCGACCAACAACGAACUUUAGACAUUAAGAUAUUAGGUUCUCCAAAGAUAAAGUGUUAUGUUUUAUUUUAUAUUUUUCCUUCAAAUUAUGUGUUAUGUUCCCAAUACCAAUACCAAUGUCAGUUAUGUACAGCUGUACAACUUAUGCUUCUGAACAUAAAUAAUUUUAUAAUAUUUGUACCUUCAUUUGUA